rnacentral:rRNA from 1 species
AUUGAACGCUGGCGGGAGGCUUUACACAUGCAAGUCGAACGAGUGGCGGACGGGUGAGUAAUAUAUCGGAAUGUGCCCAGUAGAGGGGGAUAACUACUCGAAAGUGUGGCUAAUACCGCAUACUAUUGGAGAGGCCGAUUUCGGAUUAGCUAGUUGGUGGGGUAAAGGCUCACCAAGGCCACGAUCCGUAGCUGGUUUGAGAGGAUGACCAGCCACACUGGGACUGAGACACGGCCCAGACUCCUACGGGAGGCAGCAGUGGGGAAUAUUGGACAAUGGGGGAAACCCUGAUCCAGCCAUGCCGCGUGUAUGAGAAGGCCUUCGGGUUGUAAAGUACUUUUGGUAGAGAGGCGGUAACUACAGAAGAAGCACCGGCUAACUACGUGCCAGCAGCCGCGGUAAUUC